ACAGCAUGUAAGAUAUGCUGCAAAAUUAAUUUAAUGUGUAUUAUAGGGGUCUCUUGGGCUAGAUUGCAAUAAACAAGGAGAGCUGAAUAAUGAGCCACUAGAAGUCUUGGAUACAGGAGACCUGUGCCCGGUUUUACUCAAUGAAAGGUGGUAAUGAGAAAGGAACAAAUAUUCUGAAGAUGCAGAGAAACCCAGGGCAAGGGUGAUACAGGCAUGUUAAUUUUCU